AGUAGCUAUGCCUUCGGGGUAGAUCUCCCACCCUUUGUAUACUAUACCUUUGUUGCUUUGGCGGGCCGCCUAGCUACUGGCUUCGGCUGGUAAGUGCCCGCCAGAGGACCCAAAACCCUGAAUAUUAGUGUCGUCUGAGUAAAAAGUUUAAUAUUUAAAACUUUCAACAACGGAUCUCUUGGCUCUGGCAUCGAUGAAGAACGCAGCGAAAUGCGAUAAGUAAUGUGAAUUGCAGAAUUCAGUGAAUCAUCGAAUCUUUGAACGCACAUUGCGCCCCCUGGUAUUCCGGGGGGCAUGCCUAUUCGAGCGUCAUUAUCACCCCUCAAGCCUAGCUUGGUGUUGAGGCCUGCUGUCAAGGCAGCCUCUAAAAUCAGUGGCAGUGCUGUCAGGCUCUAAGCGUAGUAAAAUAAAUCGCUAUAGGGUCCUGGUGGAUACUCGUCAGAACCCCCCCAUUUUUUAAUGAUUGACCUCGGAUUAGGUAGGGAUACCCGCUGAACUUAAGCAUAUCAAUAAGCGGAGGAAAAGAUCAUUACCGAGUUCAUGCCCUUCGGGGUAGAUCUCCCACCCUUUGUAUACUAUACCUUUGUUGCUUUGGCGGGCCCCUAGCUACUGGCUUCGGCUGGUAAGUGCCCGCCGAGGACCAAAACCUGAAAUAUUAAUGUCGUCUGAGUAAAAAGUUUUAAUAUUUUAAAACUUUCACACGGAUCUCUUGGCUCUGGCAUCAUGAAAAACGCACGAAAUGGAUAGUAAUGUGAAUUGCAGAAAUCUGAAUCUCAAUCUUGAAGCAAUUGUGCCCUGGUAUCCGGGGGGAUGCCAUUCAGCGUUUUACCCCCACCCAGUUGGGUUUUAGGCGGCUGCCAGCCACCCC
rnacentral:rRNA from 1 species